rnacentral:rRNA from 1 species
AUUAUUUUAAGCUAUAUAUUAGGAGUAAAUAAAAUUUAUGAAAUUAAAAAAUUUUGGCGGUAUUUUAAGCUUAUUAAAGGAAUUUGCUCUGUGAUGGACACAACGCCUUAAUCUUACUUAAUUUAGUAAUUUAAAUCAGUUUGUAUACCACUAUAUUAAUUAUAUUGAAUAGUUAUAUUUAAAAUUUUUUUAAAAAAAUAUAUUAAGUCAAGGUGCAUCUAAUAAUUAUGAAUGAAGUGAAUUACAUUAAUUUUAAUGUAAUUUUUUACAUGAAAAAAUUAAUUAGGAUUUAAUAGUAAAAUACUAAUAUUAUGAGUAUUUGAAUCAAGCUCUAAAAUAUGCAC